CAUCCGUCCAACUAUUUUGUACAUUCCAUUGUACAGUGCUGUAACACAUGGGAAAAGCAUUAUUAUGUCUAUAAACAAUGCUUAGAAAAUGUGUGGUGCUUCUUAAAAAAUUAAUCACUUUUUUCAUAGGGGACUAUGUUUUAAUUUUAAUAAUUAAAGAUGAUUUUUAUAAAGACCUAAUGACAUUCAAUGUGAAAGUGUGCAGAAUUACAGAAAAUUAUAAAGGAGGCAAACUAUUUUUCCAAAAUGCUUAAUGUAAACACACACACACACAAAUUAGGCAGGAGGUUACCUUUGGAAUUGCAGGCAAGUGUUUUUUCCAGUCCUCUCCAUCAAAUAUUUCGCAUGAGUGGAUUUCCCUCAUCAGCAAAGUUAAAAAUUCUCUCGUUGGUCCACCCUCAUCAGCGGCUCCCUCACCAAUCCCAUCAGCAUCUCUGAACACAACAUCUAGUUUUGCCUCAGGGUUAAAACGUUGGCGUCGGAAGGCUCUGAUGCCACUGUCUAGGAUGUUGCAUCGUGUUACAUUGAUUUGGUUGGAAAUGGGUGCAGCUGUAAAAUCCACUUUGUUUGACAUUGUAUUUAACAAUGAUUUCAGGUCAACACUGAAAAAAAGAAAUAAAAGAGAAUGUUACUCCGUCUUUUGAUCCAACUACAGUAUAAAUACAUGUCUAACAACAUCAAUUGACUUACUCAUACUCAUCUUCAUCUGAGAUAUAAAUAUCUGUGUCUGGACUGAGUAAAGAAAAUGCCACUGAAACUUCUGGAGAGGAGGCCACGGCUGGAGCUGGAGCAGCAGAGGAGGCCACGGCUGGAGCUGAGAAGGAGGCCACGGCUGGAGAUGAGAAGGAGGCCACGGCUGGAGAUGAGAAGGAGGCCACGGCUGGAGCUGGAGAGGAGUUCACUUGUGCAAGUGCAUAAGUACUCUGUAAAAUUGAACAACUGUGAUCUUUCAUUUGAAUGUACUAUUGCACUAUUUGUAGCACUUUUGUUUAUACAUAAUAUAAAGGAAGCAAUAAAAUAUUAG
rnacentral:lncRNA from 1 species